GACGAACGCUGGCGGCUUGCUUAACACAUGCAAGUCGAACGGAAAGGCCCUGCUUUUGUGGGUUGCUCGAGUGGCGAACGGUUGAUUAACACGUGAUUACCCUGCCCUUGACUUUGGGUUAACUCCAGGAAACUGGGGCUAUUACCGGUUAGGAUCUCUUGCUGCAUGGUGUGGGUUGGAAAGUUUCGGUGGUUGGGGAUGGACUCGCGGCUUAUCAGCUUGUUGUGGGGGUAGUGGCUUACCAAGGUUUUGACGGGUAGCCGGCCUGAGAGGGUGACCGGCCACAUUGGGACUGAGAUACGGCCCAGACUCCUACGGGAGGCAGCAGUGGGGAAUAUUGCACAAUGGGCGGAAGCCUGAUGCAGAAACGCCGCGUGCGGGAUGACGGCCUUCGGGUUGUAAACCGCUUUCGCCUGUGACGAAGCGUGAGUGACGGUAAUGGGUAAAGAAGCACCGGCUAACUACGUG
rnacentral:rRNA from 1 species